CCUACGGGAGGCUGCAGUGAGGAAUAUUGGUCAAUGGACGCGAGUCUGAACCAGCCAAGUCGCGUGAAGGAUGACUGCCCUAUGGUUUGUAAACUUCUUUUAUAUGGGAAUAAAAUGUUCCACGUGUGGGAUUUUGUAUGUACCCUAUGAAUAAGCAUCGGCUAACUCCGUGCCAGCAGCCGCGGUAGUACGGAGGAUCCGAGCGUUAUCCGGUGUUAUUGGGUUUAAAGGGAGCGUAGGUGGAUUGUUAAGUCAGUUGUGAAAGUUUGCGGCUCAACCGUAAGAUUGCAGUUGAAACUGGCAGUCUUGAGUACAGUAGAGGUGGGCGGAAUUCGUGGUGUAGCGGUGAAAUGCGUAGAUAUCACGAAGAACUCCGAUUGCGAAGGCAGCUCACUGGACUGCAACUGACACUGAGGCGCGAAAGUGUGGGUAUCAAACAGGAUUAGAUACCCGGGUAGUC
rnacentral:rRNA from 1 species